rnacentral:lncRNA from 10 species
CCUAAGCCUGAGAAAACAGGGCCUCUGGCUUCUUGGCAGGGAGAGGUUCCAGAGAGUGCAGGGGAGGCCCUGCCUCCUUGGGUGGGGUGACCUGGGCCUCCUGGGACCUCAGUUCCCUGCCUGUGAAAAAGACGGACGGAGGUAGAGAAUCCCAGGGUGCCUUUCCAGGACUAAAGACGGUGCCUUCUUUAUGUAAAUUCCAUCCUUCGCAAGUUCACUGUGGAGCGCUCUCCCGGGGCCCAGUCUCUAGGCGCAGAACACCCAGCCAGGUGGUAGCUCUCCUUUGCAAAUUGUACUUUUUAAUGUGUCGUUGAGUUUGCUAAAGCAGGUUGCCCUGUGAGUAGAGUACAAGGCUGGUCGUCAGGCGGGGAGAGUGACAAUGUUUUGAAAUUGUUGAAUUUCCUGAGCAUGCACCAGGCUCAGUGUCUUGGAGCAGUGCGGGAAGGCUGGUGUUGCGGCGGCCUGAAGAAGCACAGCUGCAGAUGCUAACGCAGGCCUGGUGAGCAGGAAGCCGGGGCGUGGCUCAGGCGGAGGGGAGAGGCCGGGGCAGGUCUGGCCCGGCCAUGGGGGCCGGGCUCUGAGCUGGAGAGCAAGUUCUGGAGGCUGAAAAUCAAGAUCAGGAUGCUGGCGUCUGACAAGGGCUUUCUUGCUGCAUCCUCACGUGGCGGAAAGUGGAAGGGCAAGAGAGAGCGAACCCAUCCUGAAAACCCCAGAUUACAGAGGCACUAAUCCAUUUAUGUGGGUGGAGCUCCCAUGACCCAAACACCUCCAAAGGCCCCACCUCCUGACAAUGUUGCACUGGGGAUUACAUUUCCAACACAUGAAUCUGGGGAGACAGAUUCAGACCACAGCAGAUGUCAAGGCUGGUUCAAAGGACAAUGUGAAGAACAAAGGCAUGCUGAAAUGAAUUUGAUAAUAGAUGCAAACUUGGGUAACAUCCUACAGGACAAUAAGGUGUAAGUAAUACUUGGGAUCAUCUUUCCUUAGACAUGAGCAUCAGUUGCAUCUACAGUGAACAACACUGAUUACAUUGCCAUAGAGGAAGCUUUGUGUUGCUCUCAGAUAAGAAGCAUGCACACUGCUGUAUUCUCUACAUGAACUUCUAUUCUACAGUUGUAAAAUAGUUCAGUCAAUAGAAAGCCAACCACAGAGACACACCUAGUGGUUUGUUUUUGCCUAUUUUUAAGUUUUUAAUAUUUUUUAUAACAGAUAUAACAUUGAAUCCAUAGUGAAGUUAAUCACUUUUUAAUUACCCAUUUUUCUAAUAAUUAAAUCAACAAGGGAGUCUCCUUUGGGUACCAAUCAAUCUCUAACCUUUCUAAACUUCUUGUUUGAAAAAGAGAAAGGCAGAAGUGGGCCUCAAGCAUGACGCCUUCAACUGACUGUACAAGCUAGCUGCAGUUUGAUGAUACUGUUGAAUUUUCUUUAUUAUAUUGUUACCUUUUAUUAAUGGCAAUGGAUAUAUUAGUUUUCCAUUUUUGGUUGAGAUAUGAGGCUUCCUUUAAAACAUAUUUAAGUAAAAAAGAAAAGUGAGUCAAUGUGUUUAAUUAAACAGCCAAAAGUAUUCAAAUGAUGAAUGAUAUAGAUGGGAUGAAUAGAAAGUCAUAGAAAAUUUAUGGUGAUCACUGAAGGUUGAGAAAAACCCAAUCUGAUGAGCACUCUGCUCCAUGUCAGGUCCUGCCUGUUGUGCUUGUCUCCCAGACUGUCUUUUAACUCUCACCUUCUUACAAAUAGUUGAAUCUUAAUAGCUAUUAUUACCUUACAUUUAACAAAAUAGGCAUAUGCAUAUUUUUUCAUUUUCUCCCUCUCCACUAAGGAAAACUUCAGAGAGAGAAAGAAUUUCUCCAGGGUCAAGCAUCCAGCUGAGCAUUCCAGUAGAGAAUGGCAGUGCUGGAAUCCCCCGCUGUUGUCCGGCUUCAAGACUCUUUUGCACUGUCUCCCAGCCCUGCUCCCAUGGGAGUUGUGGAGAAUUCCCAGGGUGAAGAAAGAACCUGGGGAUAGAGCCUCCUUUUUUCAUUUUUUCUUUCUUUUUUUUUUUUUUUUUGCGAUGGUCUUGCUCUGUCACCCAGGCUUGGAGUGCAGUGGUGUGAUCUUGGCUCACUGCAGCCUCAAUCUCCCAGGUUCAAGUGAUCCUUCCUCCUCAGUCUCCAGAGUAGCUGGGACUACAGGUAUGCACCACCAUGCCUGGCUAAUUUUUGUGUUUUUAGUAGAGAUGGGCUUUCAUCAUGUUGGCCAGACUGGUCUCAAACUCCUGACCUCAGGUGAUCCACCUGCCUCAGCCUCCCGAAGUGCUGGGAUUAUAGGCAUGAGCCACUGUGCCCGGCCUCAUUUUUCUUUUCCUUUUUACAGAAAUGGAAAUCACAUGGUAGGUCAUAAGGAGCUGACAGGGCUGGAGUUCCAGUGAGUAUCUGCCCCGGCAGUGCGGCAGCAGACGGGAAGGGUGGGAGGUCAUCUGAGCUGGUAGGGUGAGAACAAAUAUAAAUCUCAGGGGGGAUCCACAAGGGAGCCCAUGUCUUUGGUGCCACACAAAUGCAGUAAGAGCUGUGGACACCAGGGAAUACCAGGGAGUGUUUAAAAGCCCCACAGGCAGAACACACGCAGAGAAAGCAGGAGACUAGGCACUGUGGGUUCUUGGGAAAGAGCUGAUUUUAGUUGCAAAAGCAGAGGAAACCCCAGACAUUGCAUGGCUUUAGGCUUUAGGCUUUAGCCCCACCACCCUCACAAGUCUUCUGUCUCCAGGGGGCCAUCAGUGCCUCAGUUCCACUCGGUGCAGACCCCAGGGUUCUUCCCACCCCUGCAAGCCACCCAUCAGGGUGAACUGAGAGAUCAGCAGAGUCACUUACAACGAAGGGGAAUUGUUCUGGGCAUUGGUUAGUAAACAGGAGAGCAAAAGGGGAGAAGAAAAUUGUGUACAGGCGUUGAGCAUCUCUAGCCGAAGAAGGUGAGGCAUAGAGGUGUCUUACCACCAGGAACAGAUCUGAGUCAUGCAGCACCAAAAUACGUAUUUGAGUCAUGGCAUCAAAACGUUCCUGGUGGUGAAUUCAUGUCCGUGCGGGUCUGCAGCAAUCUCAAUUCUUGCCUCCUCAGAAGAAAGAAUUCGACUGAGGGGCAUGAGGCAGAAAGAGAGAUCGGAGCCAGUUUCAGAACAGGAGUGAAAGUUUAUUAAAAGGCUUUAGAACAUGAAUGAAAGGAAGGAAAGGAUACUUGGAGAAGGACCAAGCAGGCAUCUUGAAAGGCAAGUGCUUUUUUUUUUUUUUUUCAUUUUUUAACCCCUUCCUAAUGUCACUGGAAUAAGAGGCCUGUCCCAGACCCCAAGAGCGGGUUCUUGGAUGUUGGAUGAGGAACAAUUCCAGGUGAGUGGCAGAGUAUAGUAAAGUUAAAAUCGUUUAUCAGAGACCACUCGGUUACAGAGUAGGAUGUCCUCCAAAAGCAAGAGAAGGAACGCGCACACCUUAAAUACGAUUCUUAUUUAUAUAGGUUAACAGAGCUAAGAAGAGAGGUCUUUUGUGCUUUAUUACAGAGGCUGGUGAUCAGCUUCUGACAGGCUAUUAGUAUUAUUUUCCUAUGUUACUACUGAUUUCAGCAAGGAUUUACGAAUGUACUAUUAACCUUAAAUCAAAACCUACUCUUAAACUAAGAAUGCUUUUUGUUCUUAAAAUAUUAAGAGAUUGCCAUAAAAUUCUGCGUCUUUAUUUAGUUAGCAUCAUUAACUUGUUCCCUCAACCAUAAACAUCUUGUGCCCAAGAGUGCCUACCCCCUGGGGGUGUAACCCUGCAGGCAUGGCUAUAUCCCACAUUUAUUAAAG